UUAAAGUUGUAUGCUUUUUUUAUUAUUAUUAUUUAAUUCAGAUUGUUGGCGACAUGGCACAUGUAUUAAAGUCUUCUGUCACAGUUGACUCAGCAAGAAUGAAGACAUUGAUACACUUUUGCAUUAUGGAAUAUACAAGUUGGCAGUUCCUCGCCCACUGCCACCCAAAUACAGGUAUAAGAAAUCCUUAUCUGUACGUAACAGACGAUGGAGACGAAGUGAUUAUUAUGUGUGGCAAAAGAUUAUUUUAUGAA
rnacentral:lncRNA from 1 species